CUCUUGGAGAGUGAAUUCCAGUCGAGGAAGAAGCCGCGUGUUUCCUAUUGAGAGCCAGACCCUCUCAUGGCCAUGGCUUCAUCUCCCAGAACCCCAGUUCUUUGUAAUGGAGGAUCAACAGCAGCUGAGCUUCCAACGGAGGAUUUGGUAUCAUUUGAGGAUGUAGCUGUGUUUUUCUCCGUGGAGGAGUGAGCCCUGCU